CCGAGUUUACAACUCCCAAACCCCUGUGAACAUACCACUUGUGUGCCCUCGGCGGAUCAGCCCGCUUCCCGGUAAAACGGGACGGCCCGCCAGAGGACCCCUAAAACUCUGUUUCUAUAUGUAACUUCUGAGUAAAACCCAUAAAUAAAUCA
rnacentral:misc_RNA from 1 species